rnacentral:rRNA from 1 species
CCUACGUGAGUCAGCAGUGAGGAAUAUUGGUCAAUGGGCGCGAGCCUGAACCAGCCAAGUAGCGUGAAGGAUGACUGCCCUACGGGUUGUAAACUUCUUUUAUAAAGGAAUAAAGUGAGGCACGUGUGCCUUUUUGUAUGUACUUUAUGAAUAAGGAUCGGCUAACUCCGUGCCAGCAGCCGCGGUAAUACGGAGGAUCCGAGCGUUAUCCGGAUUUAUUGGGUUUAAAGGGAGCGUAGAUGGGUUGUUAAGUCAGUUGUGAAAGUUUGCGGCUCAACCGUAAAAUUGCAAUUGAUACUGGCAGUCUUGAGUACAGUUGAGGUAGGCGGAAUUCGUGGUGUAGCGGUGAAAUGCUUAGAUAUCACGAAGAACUCCGAUUGCGAAGGCAGCUUACUAAACUGCCACUGACAUUGAUGCUCGAAAGUGUGGGUAUCAAACAGGAUUAGAUACCCCAGUAGUC